GUCAAAGCCAAAUCCCGUGCCCACCUGGCCAGAAUCCCUUGUCCCGCAGAACAGGGAUCCCGCGAGAAAUCCCGGUCCGUGGCAGUUGGCACCCAACGUGGGGCUUCCGUCAGAAUGAAGAAUCCCCAAUUCCUUAGAUCCCAAAAAGACUGGUCCAAACAGCCCUGCCUCUCCCACUCUCUGAGAAGAGGAGGGAGAAGAACAGAGAAAACAGAAGCUGACAGCUGACAGAAAUGGAGAAGCAGACAUCCACCACAGACUACAACAACAAGAAUCGCUAACACUGCUGCUAUUCAGUCAAAUUUGUUUAGACUUAUAACUGCUGAUAUGAA